AAACAGGCCUUCAGGAGUGGCCUGGGGAUUAGUCCUUUGAUCCAUCUGUUCUAGGAUCCUAGAUAACCCCGAAGUUAUGGGAAGGCAGUAUGGAAGGCAGGGAAGGAAGCAGAAAAGGUCUCUCUCUGGAUACAAUGCCCACUGGCUCAGAAAGUCCCAGGACAGCCAAACACUAGGCACGCUAUGAACUGAAUCCGGAGGUGCCAGCACCCCCCUCGAGGGGCACCCCACAAGCUCCACCUGGAAGGGUCCAUGCAACCUGUAGGAGCAGGAACAAGAAAUGGAACCACCCCCCCUAUCUGGAAUCAGAAAGAAAUAUCCUGCCGCGAGGUCCCCUCUACCACUUGCUGUUCCGGAUCGGGUCAGAGGGCAACAUGUCCUGUGAAAACCCAAAAGCCAUGAUUCGAGUAAGUCAGUCAAAUUCUUCUUGGUCAGCUGCCACCAGCCUCCUCGGUUAAGGUCCAUUCUUCUCCAGAGGCCUGGGAAAGUGGAGAGGGCCCAAAACGUCCUGCCCUGCACUGUAUUUAAAAGUUCCCUUUGCCCUUAGGUGCUUGCUCAAAGUAUUGAAAGCAUUGAGCACAGAGC
rnacentral:lncRNA from 1 species